rnacentral:rRNA from 1 species
UACGUAGGGUGCAAGCGUUAAUCGGAAUUACUGGGCGUAAAGCGUGCGCAGGCGGUUUUGUAAGUCAGAUGUGAAAUCCCCGGGCUUAACCUGGGAAUGGCAUUUGGGACUGCAAGGCUGGAGUGUGGCAGAGGAGACUGGAAUUCCUGGUGUAGCAGUGAAAUGCGUAGAUAUCAGGAGGAAUACCGAUGGCGAAGGCAGGUCUCUGGGCUGACACUGACGCUCAUGCACGAAAGCGUGGGGAGCAAACAGG